rnacentral:rRNA from 1 species
GACGAACGCUGGCGGCGUGCCUAAUACAUGCAAGUAGAACGCUGAAGGAGGAGCUUGCUCUUCUGGAUGAGUUGCGAACGGGUGAGUAACGCGUAGGUAACCUGCCUGGUAGCGGGGGAUAACUAUUGGAAACGAUAGCUAAUACCGCAUAAGAGUAGAUGUUGCAUGACAUUUGCUUAAAAGGUGCAAUUGCAUCACUACCAGAUGGACCUGCGUUGUAUUAGCUAGUUGGUGGGGUAACGGCUCACCAAGGCGACGAUACAUAGCCGACCUGAGAGGGUGAUCGGCCACACUGGGACUGAGACACGGCCCAGACUCCUACGGGAGGCAGCAGUAGGGAAUCUUCGGCAAUGGACGGAAGUCUGACCGAGCAACGCCGCGUGAGUGAAGAAGGUUUUCGGAUCGUAAAGCUCUGUUGUAAGAGAAGAACGAGUGUGAGAGUGGAAAGUUCACACUGUGACGGUAUCUUACCAGAAAGGGACGGCUAACUACGGG